rnacentral:misc_RNA from 1 species
CCCGUCGUCGUGCGGCCGACUACCGGCGCCGUGUCCCGUCAAUCGUGUAGCAUUGAAUCGCUGGAUUAGRAAGUGCUUGCGUGCUAGUACCCGACCUASGGGAAGUGGUGCUUCGUAUAAUUGUUGCCUCGCGGYGGACGCCCUCUGGGUGUGCCGCUGCGGCCRAAUAGCGCUUGCGGCGUUGCCUCGUGGCGCUGGCAUGUAACGUGCCUGCUGCUAUCAAGGCAACCUCGCUCAYGCUGUUGGUCUCGGAUGCUGCUCAYGAUAAAGGCUCGUGGCCCUUUCGGUUGCCUCGACCCGACCCAAGGCUCUCCGAACUGAGAACAACCGGARCAAGAGUUGCCUCUACCUCUCCAYAGUUACGUGGUAGGAUACGCGACUCUCUGCGCCGAUCCUCAAGGAGGAUGASCUAUGCCCGCUCAACAGCGACAACCGGCCCGGCUGUWRCCUCUGCAUUUCCACGCAAGUGGAAUGGCAGGACGRCUCCGASGCUGGACGUCACCGAGGACGUGCUACCUGGUUGAUCCUGCCAGUAG